rnacentral:rRNA from 1 species
AGGAAAAGAAACUAACAAGGAUUCCCGUAGUAACUGCGAGUGAAGUGGGAAGAGCUCAAAUUUGAAAUCUGGCGGUUCUGGCCGUCCGAGUUGUAAUCUAGAGAAGUGUUACCUGCGCUGGACCGUGUACAAGUCUCCUGGAACGGAGCGUCAUAGAGGGUGAGAAUCCCGUCUCUGACACGGACUACCAGGGCUUUGUGGUAUACUCUCAAAGAGUCGAGUUGUUUGGGAAUGCAGCUCAAAAUGGGUGGUAAACUCCAUCUAAAGCUAAAUACUGGCGAGAGACCGAUAGUGAACAAGUACCGUGAGGGAAAGAUGAAAAGAACUUUGGAAAGAGAGUUAAACAGUACGUGAAAUUGCUGAAAGGGAAACGCUUGAAGUCAGUCGCGUUGGCUGGGGAUCAGCCUCACAAAUAAGUGUGGUGUAUUUCCUGGUUGACGGGUCAGCAUCAAUUUUGACCCCUGGAGAAAGGCUUGGGGAAUGUAGCAGCCCUGGCUGUGUUAUAGCCUCUUGUCAGAUACAGUGGUUGGGAUUGAGGUGUGCAGCACGCCGCGAGGCCGGGGCUAAAACAGCCCACGUUCGUGCUUAGGAUGUUGACAUAAUGGCUUUAAGCGACCCCUCUUGAAACACGGACCAAGGAGUCUAACAUGCCUCCGAGUGUUUGGGUGGAAAACCCGUGCGCGCAAUGAAAGUGAAAGUUGAGAUCCCUGUCGUGGGGAGCAUCGACGCCCGGACCUGAACUUUUGGGAUGGAUCUCCGGUAGAGCAUGUAUGUUGGGACCCGAAAGAUGGUGAACUAUGCCUGAAUAGGGCGAAGCCAGAGGAAACUCUGGUGGAGGCUCGUAGCGAUUCUGACGUGCAAAUCGAUCGUCAAAUUUGGGUAUAGGGGCGAAAGACUAAUCGAACCAUCUAGUAGCUGGUUCCUGCCGAAGUUUCCCUCAGGA